UACGUAGGAUGCAAGCGUUGUCCGGAAUUAUUGGGCGUAAAGGGUGCGCAGGCGGUUCUUCAAGUCAGAUGUGAAAUAUCCCGGCUUAACUGGGAGGGGCCAUUUGAAACUGAAGGACUAGAGUACAGGAGAGGAUAGCGGAAUUCCCGGUGUAGUGGUGAAAUGCGUAGAUAUCGGGAGGAACACCAGUGGCGAAGGCGGCUAUCUGGCCUGUAACUGACGCUGAGGCACGAAGGCUAGGGGAGCGAACAGG
rnacentral:rRNA from 1 species